rnacentral:rRNA from 1 species
CCCUUAGAUGUUCUGGGCCGCACGCGUGCUACACUGAGUGGAUCAGCGGGUCAGGUUGCGCGAAAGUGUUUCCAAAUCUUUAAAUCCGCUCGUGAUGGGGAUUGACGGUUGCAAUUUUCCGUCAUGAACGAGGAAUACCUUGUAAGCGCGGGUCAUCAUCCCGCGCUGAAUACGUCCCUGCCCUUUGUACACACCGCCCGUCGCUCCUACCGAUUGAGUGGUCCGGUGAGGCUUUGGGAUCUGAGCGGAAAGAGCGUUUCGCUGUUUCUGCCCGGAAAACUCAGUCGAACCUUAUCAUUUAGAGGAAGGAGAAGUCGUAACA